AAAACUUUUGCUUAUCAUUUUACUCGGAGAAUGGCUGGAUUCAUUUGAGCGUGUACAGUUUUGUUUCCAAGAAUGCCGGACAGCAACCCUGCAAAGAUGGUGUUCGCUUCCGAUCCGGCAGGUACGAGACGACGUGGAGCGCAGCGAGCGAGAUGGGCAGACCAGGUGCAGAACGACUUGGCGAGCGUGGGGCGUAUUCGAGGAUGGAGAGAUGCGGCCUCGAACCGUGUAUUGUGGCGUCAAAUUGUUGAUUCAGUGUUAUCUGUAUAGAUGUAGACUAAAUAAAUGAAAAAUGAACAGUUUUGUUUAUAAUUAGUGAAGAGAUGAAAAUAAUGAAACUGUAUGGUGCAGAAAGUGUCUCUUUCAUUACAGUUUCUGGUGCUGGGCAAGCGGUAGAUCACUAUGGCUUCUGUACCGUGAAAUGAAGCUUAUGAUAAAUAAAAUACUGCUGCUUGCUGGUCACUGAUUCAAGAUCGUUUAGUGGCUACCAUUGGCCAAUCUCACCAACGGGAUAUAAUAAGAACUGAUGCAGGUUUAUAUCUGGCGGAGACGAGCCAGCCUCGGGCUGAAAGUCUCCUUAAUAAAGACACAAAAAAAAAGGUUUAUAUCUAUGUGUAUUGUCUAUUCGGAACAAAGUUAGUACGCUUUUUAAACCGAUGUUGGAUUUUUCUCCAGAUACAGGCAACCCACUUAACUUUGGAAGUAGUGCGCUGGAUUCGUCUAAAGAUAUGCUAAACAACCGGAGGAAAAUAAAAUAAUUUGUAAAAC